UUUUUUUUUUUUUUUUUUUCUCUCAAUCUCUUUAUACUCCCAUUCGAUUUUCACCUCCCCACUACAGAGUUUAUUAUUAUAGUUUUUGGGGAUCGUAAAGGCACCAAAUGGCGGCUGCAGCUUUUGCUUUCUCAUCAUUCUCUUCUCGUCAGCUUGUAAUUCCUGCUUCUUCAUUGACUCGGUCGCCGCUAUCGCCAAUUUACCAUCUUCGAGAUGGCAGCUGCUCUGUUAUGGUAACAGGAAUUUAUUGUGCCAAGCAGAUAGGCGCUAUCAGAUACGAAAAUGGAAGCAGCAGCAGUAAAAGUACCACUCUGGUUACUGCUAUUUCUAGUUUUUGUGAAACCUCGUCUCCACCCGUAACUGCAUUUAAUGAGGUGUGCCAUUGAAUUUAAUUUUUCUCUUCUGGGUAUUUUGUUCCUUGUAAUUUUUUGUGAUUUUGCUUUCUGGGUUUUUCCCCCCUUCUUUCUAGCUGAUCGAGUCGCUGAUUAAUCGGGUGGAUUUAUCGGAAUCCGAGGCUGAAGCAUCGCUUGACUAUUUAUUAAAUGAUGCUGACGAGGCAUUGAUCAGUGCCUUCCUUGUGUUGCUGAGAGCUAAAGGGGAGACUUAUGAAGAAGUAAGUAUUGUCUGCCUUGUAGUUAUUAAUUCCUAAACUAAUAAUUGCAUCAAUUUGCUUUUCUUGUUUUCAAUUAUAACAUUAAUUUAAUUCCACAAAGCAAUUACUUUCUUGAAAGGUGUUACUACAGGAAAUGUGUUUUGGUAAGGCAAUGAGUUGUAAUAGAACGAAAAAAUUACGGGAUUUCUUGGGUAACAGGUUGUGGGAUUGGCAAGGGCGAUGAUUAAGCAUGCUAGGAAAGUUGAAGGGUUAGUUGAUGCAGUUGACAUUGUAGGAACUGGUGGGGAUGGAGCAAAUACCGUUAACAUUUCUACGGGGGCAUCAAUACUUGCUGCUGCUUGUGGUGCAAAAGUUGCCAAGCAAGGGAAUCGAUCGAGUUCUUCUGCAUGUGGAAGUGCUGACGUAUUAGAAGCACUGGGGAUAGUAAUUGACCUGGACCCGGAGGGUGUAUCAAGAUGUGUGAAUGAAGUGGGAAUUGGUUUUAUGAUGUCUCCAAAGUACCAUCCUGCAAUGAAGAUUGUAAGCCCUGUGAGGAAAAAGCUAAAAGUAAAGACCGUAUUCAAUAUAUUGGGCCCUAUGUUGAACCCUGCACGUGUACCUUUUGGUGUUGUUGGAGUAUUCAAAGAAGACUUAGUAAGUUCCUGUACUAUGAACUAUAAAUAUAACAUAUAUCUUCUCGUCAACAAUUGAAAUUGCUAACACUUACUAUCAUAAAUUGAGAAAAAGGAAAAUUCAUUUUGAGCUUAUUGACCAUCUGGUACAAAUUGAGGAGCCAAUCCAAUUUGGGUCUUGGCCUACUAAAUUUUAAGCUUUUAACGUGUUGAUUGCAUUCAAUGGUGACUUCUGUCAUACCAAAUCUUUUAAUAUUGUUAGCACUGCACUCGAUUAUCCACAUUGCAAGAAGAAGCUCCUACAUUGAAAUCAGAAGCAUAUAUAAAGCUAUUUAAGGUCUUUUAAGUUAAACCUUAAGAUCCUUUGUGGGAGAGCCAAGAAGAAAUUGGUGGUGAGGCCAAAGCAAAUUUUUGAGGGGAUAGGGCUAUGGGAGACUUUUGGUGCUAGAGUACUUCCCAGUUCGCACCUCUGCUCUCCAAAAGGCUGUUCCUUUCAAGUAACCUGCACUCUUUUAUGUAACUUUUGUCAUAACAAAUAGAAUUCUUCUAUGUGCCUUGGAUAGGUCUACAAAAUGGCUAAAGCAUUGCAAAGAUUUGGAAUGAAGAAAGCAUUAGUUGUUCACUCGGAGGGCUUAGAUGAGAUGAGCCCCCUUGGACCUGGGAUUGUCCUUGACAUCAGCCCAGAAAAGAUUGAGAAAUUCUCAUUUGAUCCAUUGGAAUUUGGCAUUCCUCGUUGCACUUUAGACAGCUUGAGAGGUGGAGGGCCAGGUUACAACGCAGAAAUACUAAAACGGGUGUUAUCUGGGGAGAAAGGGUCCAUUGCAGAUGCACUUAUCCUUAAUGCAGGAGCAGCUCUCUUGGUAAGCGGCUGCACAAGCAGUUUAGCGGAAGGUGUAGCUUUGGCUUGUGAGACACAUUUAUCAGGAAAAGCUAUGAAGACACUGGAUUUGUGGAUAAAAAUUUCAAAUGAGCAGAAGGUGAAAGAGGAAACUUAUGUCAAGACUGCCUGAAAUUUUAAGGCGAUCACAUAAAAUUACGAAUGUGAAAAGCAGCCAUACCCACACAAUUGACAAUUCCAUUAGGAAAUUUUCAAUGAUUGGCUUGUAACAAAUUGUCAAAGAAUUUAGUAUGAAUAAAUUUUGCGGGGGAUGCUUUUGUAAGCCAGGAAAAUUACAAUAUUUUCUUAAGUAGGAAAAGAUGAAAAACACAGCAGAAAAACCAUUAAUACUACGUUACAUUCACCAUCCAAAUCUUGUAUCAACGUGAAAGACACCAUUUAGUUUCGUCCAUAACGAGACGCAUUUUUUAUUCUUGUGUUUCUACAUGAACAUCUGGUUUCGACAUCAUUCACAGCUGAGCAGAGUUCUUAGCAAUGGCCCCAGCAUCAUUAAGAAGAGGCAAGAGCUCACCUUUUUGGUACUUCUCCAGCGUAGAGUCGCAACCACCGAUGUGUUUUCCACCAAUAAACACGUUAGGUACGGUGCUUAGCCCAGUCCACUGUGCCAAUGCUGAUUGAAUCGCAGAUCCAUCACUUUCCUCGUCCAGUUCAAUGACCUUGAAGCUUGAUCCUAACUGGGUCAGCAGCUGCUUGACCCUCUUGCAAUAACCACAGUAGGUUUUGCUGAAAACGACGACAGGAGCAGAGGUGGAAGUCUCCUUGGCCUUAUCAAGUGCCAACUGAAUUUCUUCUUUGGAGGAAGAGGAACUCAAGAUCGAACCCAUUUGGGUGUCUUGUCAAUUGCUAUU
rnacentral:misc_RNA from 1 species